ensembl:lncRNA LINC01079 long intergenic non-protein coding RNA 1079
CCCAGAACAUGUCUUUCUCGGUAGGAAGAAGUUUAGCAGAGGAUUAUGGAGAUGGUCUCAGCAACAAGACUGCCUGGAUUUCCAUCCUAGUUCCUGCCCCAGGUGGCUUAACCUCUCUGCAGUUCCGUUUCUUCACCUGUAAAAUAGGGAUAAGAAUUCUGUUGGAAGAAUUAAAUAAGCUAAGAAGUAUGGAGUACUUGGAACAAGGUACCAGGUGGAUACUUGAGUGCUAAGCUGGUUGUCCUUGGGCCCUUCAUGCCAGGCUCCCAGAGGCCCUGCACUCUGAACAUCAGGCAAUGCCUCUCUAUGAUACAUAGCUUUAAUCAGCAGCAAAAUAAAAUGGGGCUCAUUGAAUAAGGCUUACAAAGAUGAUGAGCUCCUGCCUGGGUUUGCACUGCCUGCUGUGCGGACGAGCCGCAUCUGUGGACUCCUCCUUAGUCAGACCAAGCUGCCAUCUUUACCUUGGCUCCAAAGGUGACCUAUGAGCUGCCACACCUACUCUAGGAAUGCCCAGCAAAGUCCUGACUUGGCAACAGGGACCAGGGAUAGAGACUUUGACACAUCUCCGGUGACUCUUCUG